GACGAACGCUGGCGGCGUGCUUAACACAUGCAAGUCGAGCGAGAACCCCCCUUCGUGGGGGUGUGCUCGCGUGGCAAACGUGAGUGAAACACGGGCAUAACCUGCCCAGCACUGGGGUAUAACCUCGAGAAAGGGGCUCAUAUAGCGUACGGCAUCUCCUGCUGCCUGGGGGGGGGGGAAGAGUUUCGGCGGCUGGGGAUGGGCCCGCGGCUUAUCAGCUUGUUGGUGGGGUAGCGGCUCACCAAGGCGACGACGGGUAGCCGGCCUGAGAGGGUGACCGGCCACACUGGGACUGAGAUACGGCCCAGACUCCUACGGGGGGCAGCAGUGGGGAAUAUUGCACAAUGGGCGGAAGCCUGAUGCAGCAACGCCGCGUGAGGGAUGAAGGCCUUCGGGUUGUAAACCGCUUUCGGCAGUGACGAAGCGUGAGUGACGGUAACGGGUGAAGAAGCACCGGCUAACUACGUG
rnacentral:rRNA from 1 species